rnacentral:rRNA from 1 species
GAAUCUUGCGCAAUGGGGGAAACCCUGACGCAGCGACGCCGCGUGCGGGAUGAAGGCAUUCGUGUCGUAAACCGCUUUUGUUGGGGAAGAGAACGGACGGUACCCAACGAAUAAGCCCCGGCUAACUACGUGCCAGCAGCCGCGGUAAUACGUAGGGGGCGAGCGUUGUCCGAAGUUACUGGGCGUAAAGCGCGCGUAGGCGGUCCCUUAAGUCUGACGUGAAAGGUUCAGCGCUCAACGUGAACAGUGCGUUGGAUACUGGGGGACUUGAGUGCGGGAGGGGAGAGUGGAAUUCCUGGUGUAGCGGUGAAAUGCGUAGAUAUCAGGAGGAACACCGAUGGCGAAGGCAGCUCUCUGGCCUGUAACUGACGCUGAGGUGCGAAAGCGUGGGGAGCGA